rnacentral:rRNA from 1 species
UACGUAGGGUGCGAGCGUUGUCCGGAAUUAUUGGGCGUAAAGAGCUCGUAGGCGGUCUGUCGCGUCGGUCGUGAAAAACUUGGGGCUUAACCCUGAGCUUGCGGUCGAUACGGGCAUGACUGGAGUUCGGCAGGGGAGACUGGAAUUCCUGGUGUAGCGGUGAAAUGCGCAGAUAUCAGGAGGAACACCGGUGGCGAAGGCGGGUCUCUGGGCCGAUACUGACGCUGAGGAGCGAAAGCGUGGGGAGCGAACAGG